rnacentral:rRNA from 1 species
CCUACGAGGGGCAGCAGUGAGGAAUAUUGGUCAAUGGGCGCGAGCCUGAACCAGCCAAGUAGCGUUAAGGAUGACUGCCAUACGGGUUGUAAACUUCUUUUAUAAAGGAAUAAAGUGAGGCACGUGUGCCUUUUUGUAUGUACUUUAUGAAUAAGGAUCGGCUAACUCCGUGCCAGCAGCCGCGGUAAUGUGGAGGAUCCGAGCGUUAUCCGGAUUUAUUUGGUUUAAAGGGAGCGUAGAUGGGUUGUUAAGUCAGUUGUGAAAGUUUGCGGCUCAACCGUAAAAUUGCAAUUGAUACUGGCAGUCUUGAGGACAGUUGAGGUAGGCGGAAUUCGUGGUGUAGCGGUGAAAUGCUUAGAUAUCACGAAGAACUCCGAUUGCGAAGGCAGCUUACUAAACUGCCACUGACAUUGAUGCUCGAAAGUGUGGGUAUCAAACAGGAUUAGAUACCCUAGUAGUC